rnacentral:rRNA from 1 species
UGAAUACGAGAUGCUACGGCGUCGAAGCAGUCUAUGUCAUACUUCCAAGAAAAGCUUGCACUGUCAUAAACAAAUAAUGCCUGUACCAUAACCGACACAGGUGGGUAGGUAGAGUAUACUAAGGGGCGCGAGAUAACUCUCUCUAAGGAACUCGGCAAAAUGACUCCGUAACUUCGGGAGAAGGAGUGCCUUAUUUAUAAGGUUGCAAUAACAAGAUCCAAGCAACUGUUUACCAAAAACACAGGUCUCCGCUAAGUCGUAAGACGAUGUAUGGGGGCUGACGCCUGCCCAGUGCCAGAAGGUUAAAGAAGUUGGUUAGCAUCCGCGAAGCUGAUAACUGAAGCCCUGGUGAACGGCGGCCGUAACAAUAACGGUCCUAAGGUAGCGAAAUUCCUUGUCGGGUAAGUUCCGACCCGCACGAAAGGCGUAAUGAUUUGGAUACUGUCUCGGAGAGGGGCUCGGUGAAAUAGACUUGUCUGUGAAGAUGCGGACUACCUGCACCAGGACAGAAAGACCCUAUGAAGCUUUACUGUAACCUGAAAUUGAAAUUGGACUUUACUUGCGCAGUAUAGGUGGGAGGCGUUGAGAAUAUUCUUGCGGGAUUAUUGGAGCCAUCAGUGAGAUACCACUCUUGUAAUGUUAGAUUUCUAACUUUGUAUCAUUAUCUGGUCAAAGAACAGUUUCAGGCGGGCAGUUUGACUGGGGCGGUCGCCUCCUAAACGGUAACGGAGGCGCACAAAGGUUUCCUCUGAACGGGUAGAAAUCGUAUCUAGAGUGUAAAGGCAUAAGGAAGCUUGACUGUGAGACCUACAAGUCGAGCAGGGACGAAAGUCGGUCUUAGUGAUCUGACGGUGCUGAGUGGAAAGGCCGUCACUCAACGGAUAAAAGUUACUCUAAGGAUAACAGGCUGAUCUCCCCCAAGAGUUCACAUCGACGGGGAGGUUUGGCACCUCGAUGUCGGCUCAUCGCAUCCUGGGGCGGUAGUACGUCCCAAGGGUUGGGCUGUUCGCCCAUGAAAGCGGUACGCGAGCUGGGUUCAGAACGUCGUGAGACAGUUCGGUCCAUAUCCGGUGUAGGCGUUAGAAUAUUGAGAGGAGCCUUCUUUAGUACGAGAGGACCGAGAAGGACAUACCUCUGGUGUACCAGUUAUCGUGCCAACGGUAAACGCUGGGUAGCUAUGUGUGGAGUGGAUAACCGCUGAGAGCAUCUAAGUGGGAAGCCCACCUCAAGAUAAGUAUUCUCAU